UAGUGUAAAACAUUGACUUGUCACCUAAGAGGAGGUUUUAUCAGAUGGCAAAGACCUCAAGACCAUUAAAUUUGGUGUUGAAUCUAACAACAUCCCCAGUAAACAGUGAGUGACAAUACUGAACUGAAGAACCUCCCCCACAAACUGCUUAGAAUGAAUAACUUACCAAGUUACUCCUGCCAAAAAGAGCUGCAUCUAUGGCCGACUGCCACCUGGAAUCUUGCUGUCCUGAGCAUUUUUUAAAGAGCUCAAGGCAAAAGCAACUCCACUACACAAAGACUGUCCUGUAUGAAGCUUGAAGGAAAAUACAGAAGAUAUACAGAUUGCAGAUGGGCACACAGAACAGGUAAGAAGGACCUGCGGGUGGGGGUUAGACAGAGCAUUGACAAUGUCCACCACUGGUCCAAAAAUAGACCCAGUGAAAAUUUAAUUGCCAAUGAG